rnacentral:rRNA from 1 species
AUUGAACGCUGGCGGCAUGCCUUACACAUGCAAGUCGAACGGCAGCACGGGAGCAAUCCUGGUGGCGAGUGGCGAACGGGUGAGUAAUAUAUCGGAACGUGCCCAGUCGUGGGGAUAACGUAGCGAAAGCUACGCUAAUACCGCAUACGAUCUAUGGAUGAAAGCGGGGGAUCGCAAGACCUCGCGCGAUUGGAGCGGCCGAUAUCAGAUUAGGUAGUUGGUGAGGUAAAGGCUCACCAAGCCGACGAUCUGUAGCUGGUCUGAGAGGACGACCAGCCACACUGGGACUGAGACACGGCCCAGACUCCUACGGGAGGCAGCAGUGGGGAAUUUUUGGACAAUGGGCGGCAAGCCUGAUCCAGCAAUGCCGCGUGCAGGAUGAAGGCCUCGGUU